GACGAACGCUGGCGGCGUGCCUAACACAUGCAAGUGGAGCGACGAACCGGGCUUCGGCCCGGGGCAAAGCCGCGAACGGGUGAGUAACACGUGGGUAACCUGCCCUGAUGAUCGGGACAACCCGAGGAAACUCGGGCUAAUACCGAAUGUGCCCUCUGACCGCAAGGUCGCUGGGGAAAGGAAGCUUCGGCCUCCGCAUUGGGAUGGGCCCGCGGCCCAUUAGCUUGUUGGUGAGGUAACGGCUCACCAAGGCGACGAUGGGUAGCUGGUCUGAGAGGACGAUCAGCCACACUGGGACUGAGACACGGCCCAGACUCCUACGGGAGGCAGCAGUGGGGAAUCUUGCGCAAUGCGCGAAAGCGUGACGCAGCAACGCCGCGU
rnacentral:rRNA from 1 species